UACGUAGGCAGCAAGCGUUGUUCGGAGUUACUGGGCGUAAAGGGUGUGUAGGCGGCUGGAUAAGUCUGGCGUGAAAUCUUCACCGCUUAACGGGAAGGGGUCGCUGGAAACUGUUCAGCUUGAGUAUGGUAGAGGCAAACGGAAUUCCUGGUGUAGCGGUGGAAUGUGUAGAUAUCAGGAAGAACACCGGUGGCGAAGGCGGUUUGCUGGGCCAUCACUGACGCUGAGACACGAAAGCGUGGGGAGCAAACGGG
rnacentral:rRNA from 1 species